ACACGGUGACGCAAGGGCCGGAAGGAGGGACCCUGUGUCUGGAGAAGCGGGAGAUGGGGGCCUGGACCCCUGGGUCUGAGGGAGGAGGGGCUGGGGUCGUGAUUCCCGUGUUUGGGAGAAAAGGGGGUUGGGAGCUGGGACUCCUGGGGCCGAGGGAGGCCUUUGGGGCUCCCACUCAGUUUUGACGGUCUAAGGCCUGGGGGCCUGGAUUCUUGGUAGGGUUGGAGAUCUCAGGAGUGUCUUUCCACUGAUAGGAUUAUACAUUCUUUCCACUUAUAUGAUUAUUUUGAAAAUUAAAAAAUGAAACUUCUCUACUCCAAACUCACUUUCUAGGAGUUUCACUGUCAACAAUUUGGUGUGGACUUUAUGUUUUCUUUUUUCAGAUGGAGUCUUGCUCUGUCGCCCAGGCUGGAGUCCAGUGGUGUGAUCUCAGCUCACUUCAUCCUCCGCUUCCCGAGUUCAAGCAAUUCUCGUGCCUCAGCCUCCCGAGUAGCUGGGAUUACAGUGAGGAGAUUCCUUUCAUGAACCUUGUGGUCUGGAGUAAAAGAAGAGACCUACAUUCCUCUCUUAAGGCAAUGAGAGACGUUUAUGUCACUGGCUGCUGCCUCACUUUAGCAUAAAAGCAAAGUCCUCGCUGUGACCCACACAGCCCUUAGUGAUCUGGCCCCUGUCCCCUCUCAGCCUGCAUCUCUUUCCUCUCCUUUGGCCUCCCUGGUGCUCCUGGAACCUGCCAAGGACGUUUCUACUUCAGGGACUUUGCAUGUACUGUCCUCUCUGCCUGGAACUCUUUUCCCCCAUCUACAUGGCUUUCUGCCUCCCUUGGUCCUAUCUCUGCUCAGAUGUCAUCCUGGAAUGGAGUCUCCUGACCUCCUUGCCUCCACUUUAUAUGACUGUGAGGCUCUCUUGUUCCGAAUCCCAUCUCACCUACCCUCCUAUAUUUUUCGUCAUAACAUUUACCUCUAACCUAUUGUCUGCUUUAUUUUAUUUUAUUUUUUGAGACAGCAUCUCGCUCUGUCACCCAGGCUGGAAUGCAGUGGCAUAGUCAUGGCUCACUGCAGCCUUGACUUCUCAGGCUCAAUCAAUCCACCUGCCUCAGCCUUCAUGUAGCUAAGACUACAAGAGGACACCACCACGCCCAGAUAAUUUCUGUAUUUUUUGUAGAGACAAGGUUUCGCCUUGUUACCUAGGCUGGUCUUGAACUCCUGGGCUCAAGCCAUCUACCCACCUCAGCCUCACAAAGUGCUGGGAUUACAGGUGUGAGCCACCAUGCCCGGCUCUAACUACUUGUUUAUGGACAUAUUUUGCUGCCUUGCUGAAUGUCAAUUCCAUAAAGAUAAGGAUUCGUGUCUAGUUUGAUCAGUGCUAUACAUCCAGUGUCUAGCAUAUGGUUGCAGCUCCAUCUGUGUUUAAAGAUGAAAUUUGCAGCGAGGAGUGGUGGUUUAACCCUAUAAUCCCAGCACUUUGGGAGGCUGAGGCAGGAGACUGACUUGAGCCCAGAAGUUUGAGACCAGACUGAGCAACAUAGACCCCAUCUCUAGAAAAAAAAUUUAAAGUUAGCCAGGCAUGGUGUCACAUGCCUGUGGAGCCAGCUACUCAGGAGGCUGAGGUGGGAGGAUUGCUUGAGCACAGGAGGUUGAGGCUGCAAUGAGCUGUUGCACCACUGUACUCCAGCCUGCGUGACAGAGAGAGACCCUAUCUCAAAAUUAAACCCUGUACCUUUGCUCCUAAGCAUGAAGAUGGGCUUCUGACCAAGUCCUGCUAGAGGACACUGAAAGGGCAAGCCUUGGGCUUUAACCAGGCAAUGUUCUCAUCCAUAUGAGCAAGGGCUUCAUGUUACUGGCCGUGGCCCUGUGCUGAGUCCUCCUCCCGCCCAUGGCCCUCUCCUCCUGGCCAGUGGUCCUCCGCCUGAACAUGGCCGACUUUGUCUUCAGUUUCCUCUGCCUCGGCAUUGUUAACGGCAAGGCGGUGCACCCAAGUCCGGUGGUGUCCUACCUGGUGACCUCCUACCUGUGCUGGGACGCCAGCGACUUGAUGCUGCACUCCGGGCGCAGCGAGGCGGACAUCCAAACAGCGGAACUCAGACGCUGACUCCGAGCGCACCCCGGGCCUUCCCAUUUCAUACACCCUCGAGGAUGAGACCCAAGCACCUCCAAGGAAUAGCACCCGAGGUCUUCAGGACACCGACCGGUAGCCAUGGCCAGAUGCCCGGCCAACCCCUUCAGCGUGGCCACGCCCUGGAUAUUCGACCUCCCCUGAGGCCCCACCCCCUGAUAUCAGGCCACGCCCUCCGAGGGGACCGGUGGCAAACUCCAGCCCUCGCUCUAGGGCCCGCCCUUUGCGGCUUUGUCCCUGCCCACUGGGUCCUCACAGUACCUCCACCCCAGAGGCCCAGCAUCCCCUCCCGUUCUGCAGACACUUGUCCAGCGUCCCGCUGAGCUCGGCAGUGUGGCUAGUUUGUGUGGCCCUGCCCCUGGUGCCCAGCCAGGGUGGUCUGCAUGGAACUUCUUUCCCGGAGUUCCGGCCUCAGCUCCGAUGUCCACCCUUGUCCCCAGGUGGACACAGCACCGCCCAGCAUUUGGUGCAACUCCACCCUUCUGCAGAACGGGCCCCUCCCUGGGAAGGCAUGGCUUGCAAUAACAUCCCUCUGUACCUUUUCUGGCUUCCCCGCCACAAUAAAACCUCUCAGCCUCAGACCUUCCAUUGCCCCCCACCUCCCCACCAGGGCAGGGUCCAUCCUAGUGUGAGUGAACUGUUCUGGCGUCCCUGACUUGCCCUUUGGGA
rnacentral:lncRNA from 1 species